GACGAACGCUGGCGGCGUGCCUAACACAUGCAAGUCGAGCGGAGAUCAAGGAGAGCUUGCUCAAAUUGAUUUUAGCGGCGGACGGGUGAGUAACGCGUGAGCAAUCUGUCCUACACAGGGGGAUAACAGCUGGAAACAGCUGCUAAUACCGCAUAAGACCACAGUACCGCAUGGCACAAGGGUCAAAGAUUUAUCGGUGUAGGGUGAGCUCGCGUCCCAUUAGAUAGUUGGCGGGGUAACGGCCCACCAAGUCGACGAUGGGUAGCCGACCUGAGAGGGUGAUCGGCCACACUGGGACUGAGACCACGGGCCCAAACUCCUACGGGAGGCAGCAGUGGGGAAUAUUGCACAAUGGGGGAAACCCUGAUGCAGCGACGCCGCGUGAGUGAAGAAGUAUUUCGGUACGUAAAGCUCUAUCAGCAAGGAGAAAAAGCGGUACUUGACUAAGAAGCCCCGGCUAACUACGUAG
rnacentral:rRNA from 1 species